UGCGUAGGCGGUCUGCUAAGUUGGAUGUGAAAACUCUGGGCUUAACCCAGAGCCUGCAUUCAAUACUGACAGGCUAGAGUUCUGGAGGGGAUAGCGGAAUUCCUGGUGUAGCGGUGAAAUGCGUAGAUAUCAGGAGGAACACCGGUGGCGAAGGCGGCUAUCUGGACAGAAACUGACGCUGAGGCGCGAAAGCUAGGGAGCAAACA
rnacentral:rRNA from 1 species